rnacentral:tRNA from 1 species
GUUUAUAUAGCUUAUAUAGAGUUUAAUAUUGAAGAUAUUACGGAAAUAAUUAUAUUUAUAAACA